rnacentral:misc_RNA from 1 species
GAUGAAGAACGCAGCGAAAUGCGAUAAGUAAUGUGAAUUGCAAAAUUCAGUGAAUCAUCGAAUCUUUGAACGCACAUUGCGCCCGUCAGUAUUCUGGCGGGCAUGCCUGUUCGAGCGUCAUUACGCCCCUCAAGUCCCCUGUGGACUUGGUGUUGGGGAUCGGCGAGGCUGGUUUUCCAGCACAGCCGUCCCUUAAAUUAAUUGGCGGUCUCGCCGUGGCCCUCCUCUGCGCAGUAGUAAAACACUCGCAACAGGAGCCCGGCGCGGUCCACUGCCGUAAAACCCCCCAACUUUUUAUAGUUGACCUCGAAUCAGGUAGGACUACCCGCUGAACUUAAGCAUAUCAAUAAGCGGAGGA